CCUACGGGUGGCAGCAGUGGGGAAUAUUGCACAAUGGGGGAAACCCUGAUGCAGCGACGCCGCGUGAGUGAAGAAGUAUUUCGGUAUGUAAAGCUCUAUCAGCAGGGAAGAUAAUGACGGUACCUGACUAAGAAGCCCCGGCUAACUACGUGCCAGCAGCCGCGGUAAUACGUAGGGGGCAAGCGUUAUCCGGAUUUACUGGGUGUAAGGGGUGCGUAGGUGGCAGGGCAAGUCAGAUGUGAAAGCCCGGGGCUCAACCCCGGUACUGCAUUUGAAACUGUCCAGCUGGAGUGCAGGAGAGGUAAGCGGAAUUCCUAGUGUAGCGGUGAAAUGCGUAGAUAUUAGGAAGAACACCAGUGGCGAAGGCGGCUUGCUGGACAGUAACUGACGUUGAGGCUCGAAAGCGUGGGGAGCAAACAGGAUUAGAUACCCCAGUAGUC
rnacentral:rRNA from 1 species